rnacentral:misc_RNA from 1 species
GAUGAAGAACGUAGCGAAAUGCGAUAAGUAGUGUGAAUUGCAGAAUUCAGUGAAUCAUCGAAUCUUUGAACGCACAUUGCGCCCCUUGGUAUUCCAUGGGGCAUGCCUGUUCGAGCGUCAUUUGUACCUUCAAGCUUUGCUUGGUGUUGGGUGUUUGUCCCUCGGGACUCGCCUUAAAGUCAUUGGCAGCCAGUGUUUUGGUUUUGAAGCGCAGCACAAGUCGCGAUUCAAGGCUAUCCGCCCGCUUCCACAAGCCUUUUUCACUUUUGACCUCGGAUCAGGUAGGGAUACCCGCUGAACUUAAGGAUAUCAAUAAGCGGAGGA